GACGAACGCUGGCGGCGUGCUUAACACAUGCAAGUCGAACGGCAAGGUAAUGCUUUAGUGGGGUACUCGAGUGGCGCACGGGUGAGUCACACGUGAGUAUCGUGCACUUGACUUUCGGAUAACUUCUGGUACCUGGGGCUACUACCGGAUAGGAGCUCGUGCUGCAUGGUGGGGGAUGGACAGUUACGGCGGUUGGGGCUGGACUCGAGGCUUAUCAGGUAGUUGGGGGGGUAGCGGCUGACCAAGGCUUUGACGGGUAGCCGGCCUGAGAAGAUGGCCGCCGACAUUGGGACUAAGAUACGGCCCAGAGUCGUACGGGAGGCAGCUGUGGAAAAGAUGACAGAAUGGGCGGACGCCGGAUGCAGCAAGGCGGGGUGCGGGAUGACGGCCUUCGGGGUGUAAACCGCUUUCUCCUGUGACGAAGCGGGAGUGACGGUAACGGGUAAGGAAGCACCGGCUAACUCCGUG
rnacentral:rRNA from 1 species